AAGAUUUAUGAAUACUUAAAGAUCACGUAAAGCAUAGCGGUAUAUUUCUAUCCCCUAUCGGACUUUACGACAAUUAACAUAAUGUCUAACUUAUUUUCCAUCUCUCGAGGGUAAAACAAGUCACAAAUCUCAUACAACUAUUGCGCACAUAAUUGUAGAGAAAAUAAAAUACAUGCAAAUCAUUCAAUAAUUAAAAACAUGUUUUAACGUCAAAUGAAUAAAAUUCAAGAUUAAUGAUUCAUAAUAUAAGGUUCAUCGCAAAUCCUAGCACGAAAAGAUCUAGCCUAACAUAACGGCAAAAUUAAAUAAAUAAAAUGGAACGACAUCACCAAUAAUUGACGAAACGUGAUCAACAUCCAAAUUCCUUUUACAAAGAAAUCUGAAAUUAUUCCUUCAGCAGCCUUCUGUCCAUCUCCAAUUCUAUGCGUGAAUAUAUAUAUAAUCUUCCAAAUCAGCCGCCCACUUUUGUAUUUCCAUUCCAGCUGCUGACCUCUCAAGUUGUUUUGUAUAUGAUAUACACAAUUCAGCACUUCAAUUUCUUUAAUUCCAGCCGCCUUUUUGUGCAUAUAAUAUUCCAAUUCCUAGCUCCUUGCUAUGGCUUUCUGUGGGUGUGUCUAUAUAUAAUUCAACUUUUGCAACCCACUUAAUUCACUCCCAGCUGUUGGCCGACAAUAUCAAUUCAACCGCUUAAUCUCUCAGCUUUUCCUGUAUGAAUCUCUACAAUUAAUUCUCAACCCAAGUUUUAACUCCCCAAAGCAGCUGGCCAAAUUUUCUCUUCUUUUUCUGCCGUCUAAUAUCUUUAUUAAGCCCCCAGCCUUUGUGCGUGUAUCCCCCCGUUUUCUCUCGGCUGCAUGUGUAUAUAUACAUCAACAAUAAAACCCUUGUUCAGUAUACAAAUUAGGAGCCCAAGUCCAAUAAGUUUUGUGUACUCAAUUCUUUCGUGUAAUGCAAGUUAGUCCUUCUCUUCAUUUUCUCCUCAAUUUUGAUCCUCUAUCUUUUAUUUCGCGAGAUUUUGUCCACAAACUCAAUGUAAUAGCCAACUGAUUAUUUUCUUUUCCAAUUGCUUCAAAACGGGUCCAUAACUAAAAACAAAAGAAAAUUAACACAAAUUAGGUAAAAAUUAAUAAUUUGACGACAUAAAAACCUAGUUAUGUAGUCUGAAUAAGUGCAUAAAAUG
rnacentral:lncRNA from 1 species